UGUGUAGGACUGUAAACGCUGAAAGCCU
rnacentral:piRNA from 1 species